UAGCGUAAUCACUUGUCCCCUAAAUAGAGACUAGUAUGAACGGCCACAUGAGGGCCUAACUGUCUCCUUUGGCUAGCCAAUGAACCUGAUCUUCCAGUACAAAAGCUGAAAUAAUCCCAUAAGACGAGAAGACCCUGUGGAGCUUAAGCUCCCGCACUAACCUAAAUAAUAGUGCCCCCCUUUAGUUGGGGCGACUACGGAAUGAAACACAACUUCCACGCCACAGAUUCCGGAUCUGCACAACGGCACACACGCCAAUGCGUUAACAAUAUGACCCAGCAUAGCUGACUAACGAACCAAGUUACCCCAGGGAUAACAGCGCCAUCCUCUUCAAGAGCCCCUAUCGCCAAGAGGGUUUACGACCUCGAUGUUGGAUCAGGACCCCCCGGUGGUGCAGCCGCUACCAAAGGUUCGUUUGUUCAACGAUUA
rnacentral:rRNA from 1 species